rnacentral:rRNA from 1 species
UACGAGUGCCCCGAGCGUUAUCCGGAAUUAUUGGGCGUAAAGAGCUCGUAGGCGGCUUGUCACGUCGGGUGUGAAAGCCCGGGGCUUAACCCCGGGUCUGCAUUCGAUACGGGCUAGCUAGAGUGUGGUAGGGGAGAUCGGAAUUCCUGGUGUAGCGGUGAAAUGCGCAGAUAUCAGGAGGAACACCGGUGGCGAAGGCGGAUCUCUGGGCCAUUACUGACGCUGAGGAGCGAAAGCGUGGGGAGCGAACAGG